AUGAACGCUAGCUACAGGCUUCACACAUGCAAGUCGAGGGGAAACGACAUCGAAAGCUUGCUUUUGAUGGGCGUCGACCGGCGCACGGGUGAGUAACGCGUAUCCAACCUGCCCAUCACUUGGGGAUAACCUUGCGAAAGUAAGACUAAUACCCAAUGAUAUCUCUAGAAGACAUCUGAAAGAGAUUAAAGAUUUAUCGGUGAUGGAUGGGGAUGCGUCUGAUUAGCUUGUUGGCGGGGUAACGGCCCACCAAGGCAACGAUCAGUAGGGGUUCUGAGAGGAAGGUCCCCCACAUUGGAACUGAGACACGGUCCAAACUCCUACGGGAGGCAGCAGUGAGGAAUAUUGGUCAAUGGGCGAGAGCCUGAACCAGCCAAGUAGCGUGCAGGAAGACGGCCCUAUGGGUUGUAAACUGCUUUUAUAAGGGAAUAAAGUGAGAGUCGUGACUCUUUUUGUAUGUACCUUAUGAAUAAGGACCGGCUAAUUCCGUG
rnacentral:rRNA from 1 species